rnacentral:tRNA from 1 species
GAGGAUAUAGCUCAGUGGCAGAAUGCAUGCCUAGCAUGCACAAGGUCCUGGGUUCAAGCCCCAGUACCUCU